rfam:Danio rerio chromosome 4, GRCz11 reference primary assembly.
GAAGAGGUGGUUAAGGCAAUGGACUGCUAAUCCAUUGUGCUCUGUACACGUGGGUUCGAAUCCCAUCCUUGUCG